GCCAGUUUGGCUCAGUGGAUAGAGUGUCAGCCUGCAGACUGAAGGAUUCCUGGUUUGAUUCCAGGAAAGGGCA
rnacentral:tRNA from 1 species